rnacentral:rRNA from 1 species
UGCAGGUGAAUCAUAAUAACUUUUCGGAUCGCAGGCCUCUGUGUCGGCGACGGUUCAUUCAAAUUUCUGCCCUAUCAACUUUCGAUGGUAGGAUAGUGGCCUACCAUGGUUAUGACGGGUGACGGGGAAUUAGGGUUCGAUUCCGGAGAGGGAGCCUGAAAGAUGGCUACCACAUCCAAGGAUGGCAGCAGGCGCGCAAAUUACCCAAUCCAGAUACUGGGAGGUAGUGACAAAAAAUAACAAAGCGGGGCCAAUAGGUCCCGCUAUUGGAAUGAGUACAAUUUAAAUCCCUUGCUGAGGAUCAAUUGGAGGGCAAGUCUGGUGCCAGCAGCCGCGGUAAUUCCAGCUCCAAUAGCAUAUAUUAAAGUUGUUGCAGUUAAAAAGCUCGUAGUUGGACUUUUUAUGGGCGCCGGCCGGCCUGGGUUCUACUCAGCGUUGGUCCGGUGUUCAUACAAUACCGCCAGGGGUUGUGCGGUCGGGGUAAAAGCCGGCCGUGCAGUUACCCCCCUGGUCGUUUACUUUGAGAAAAUUGGAGUGUUCAAAGCAGGCGUAUGCAAUUGGACAAUUUAGCAUGGAAUAAUAAAACUCGACUUCGGUCGGCUUUGUUGGUUCAACGGCUGAAGUAAUGAUUAAUAGGGACAGUUGGGGGCAUUAGUACUCAGCGGUCAGAGGUGAAAUUCUUAGAUUCGUUGAUGACUAACUACUGCGAAAGCAUUUGCCAAGGAUGUUCUCAUUAAUCAAGAACGAAAGUUAGGGUAUCGAAGACGAUCAGACACCGUCCUAGUCCUAACCAUAAACUAUGCCGACUAGGGAUUGGAGGGGAUACAAUUGCGACUCCUUCAGCACCUUACGAGAAAUCAAAGUCUUUGGGUUCUGGGGGGAGUACGCGUCGCAAGGCUGAAACUUAAAGGAAUUGACGGAAGGGCACCACCAGGCGUGGAACCUGCGGUUUAAUUUGACCCAACACGGGGAAACUCACCAGGCCCAGACAUAGUGAGGAUUGACAGAUUGAGAGCUCUUUCUUGAUUCUAUGGGUAGUGGUGCAUGGCCGUUCUUAGUUGGUGAAGUGAUUUGUCUGGUUAAUUCCGAUAACGAACGAGACCUUAACCUACUAACUAGUCCAGCCGAUGUCAAUCGGUUUGGGCUUCUUAGAGGGACUCUCUGUGUUUAACAGAGGGAAGCUUGAGGCAAUAACAGGUCUGUGAUGCCCUUAGAUGCCCUGGGCCACACGCGCGUUACACUGACCAAGGCAGCGAGCUUAUCCUGGGCCGUCAGGUCUGGGUAAUCUUCGAAACUUGGUCGUGCUGGGGAUCGACCUUUGUAAUUAUAGGUCGUGAACGAGGAAUGCCUAGUAAUCGCAAGUCAUCAGCUUGCGAUGAUUACGUCCCUGCCCUUUGUACACACCGCCCGUCGCUCCUACCGAUUGGACGAUUCGGUGAAC